rnacentral:rRNA from 1 species
GAUGAACGCUAGCGGCAGGCCUAAUACAUGCAAGUCGGACGGGAUUCAGGAGCUUGCUUCUGAUGAGAGUGGCGCACGGGUGCGUAACACGUAUGUAACCUACCUUUAUCAGGGGGAUAGCCUCUCGAAAGAGAGAUUAAGCCCGCAUAAAAUCACAGCACAGCAUUGUGUAAUGAUCAAAUAUUUAUAGGAUAAAGAUGGGCAUGCGGAACAUUAGCUAGAUGGCGGGGUAACGGCCCACCAUGGCGACGAUGUUUAGGGGAUCUGAGAGGAUGGCCCCCCACACUGGUACUGAGACCCGGACCAGACUCCUACGGGAGGCAGCAGUAAGGAAUAUUGGUCAAUGGGCGGAAGCCUGAACCAGCCAUGCCGCGUGCAGGAAGACGGCCCUACGGGUUGUAAACUGCUUUUAUACGGGAAUAAACCCAGAUACGUGUAUCUGGCUGAAUGUACUGUAAGAAUAAGGAUCGGCUAACUCCGUG